AUCCAGGCUGUGAACCUCAGCUCCCAUCCUUAGCACAUCGUCCUGCCUCUAAGCUUCCUUUCUUCUUCAUCAAAUGGCCAAGGCAAGCCUAGAAUGCUCUAUGUCAUCCAGAAUGAUCUCAAACUGCUGAUCUUCCAACUUUUCACUUUUGACUGCUGAGAUCACAAAUGGUCCCCACCCUCCAUUGUUAGUUUAUAUGAUGCUGGGGAUUAAACCUAGAGCUUUACCCAUGCUAGACAUGCAUUCCACCAACCAAGAUGCUUUCACACCCUGUGCAUCCCCUGGUCUGCCCAGCCAAUUUGUUUAUUGUUGUUGUUUUGGUUUUGUUUUUCUUUUCUUUGGUUUUGUUUUGCUUUUGAUCUAUCUGCCCCUGAAUCCUCCAUCAUUCUGAAGAGGAAGGCCAGCCUUUAAAGUAGUGGUUUUCACCUAUCUCUGAGCUCGGAAUACUGUCCUCAGACCACUGGUCUCAUUGUUUUGCUUCCAGGUUCUUCAUAACUAUUUGCAUCAAGGUAGCUGAAGGAAAAACAUGGACCAGUCCCAGAACUUGGAAAAACCAUUCCACUUCAAGCAUCCAAAGGGCCCAAACAUCAUCUGGACCGGAUGAGUCUGGAGGAGACAAAGACCUUGAUCUAGAGGCAGGAGAAGCCGAGAAGAACCAGAGGAAGAGGGAGAGAAAGGACUCAUCGACUGGACAAAACAAGUCAUGAGGUCACUCCUGACUUCAAGGUGAAGAAGGAUAGGAAGUACUGAUAAAUAGUGGUGGUGUCCACCACAGAGGUCAUCUGAGAAUGGGCUGAAGGUCAAGCAUGCUGCACAGGAUCAUUCAGAGGUACAGAGAAACAAGAAGGAUGGCUAGCAAAUGUACAGGUAUCUGUAGCCCUGAGCAGAGGCAUCAUAGGAGCAGCUGACUGCAGAAUGUGGGGCAACCAGAAGAAAGGAGGACUCCUGAGAAGAGAGAGUAGGACUCGAGCUUCCACCAGCCAGAGGAAGAAACGAGAGAGAGGGAGAUUGAGAUUGGUCACCAGGAAGAGUGGGUCCAAGAGAGCACCAUGGGAAGAAACAUCAAAAGCAGAGAGAGUUAGGACAGUUUUAAACU